rnacentral:rRNA from 1 species
UACGAGGGGGGCGAGCGUUGUUCGGAAUUAUUGGGCGUAAAGAGCUCGUAGGCGGUUUGUCGCGUCUGCCGUGAAAGUCCGGGGCUCAACUCCGGAUCUGCGGUGGGUACGGGCAGACUAGAGUGAUGUAGGGGAGACUGGAAUUCCUGGUGUAGCGGUGAAAUGCGCAGAUAUCAGGAGGAACACCGGUGGCGAAGGCGGGUCUCUGGGCCGAUACUGACGCUGAGGAGCGAAAGCGUGGGGAGCGAACAGG